UUCGCAAUGCCCGAAAGGGUGACGAAGCGACGCCGCGUGCGGGAAGAAGGCCUUCGGGUUGUAAACCGCUGUCGGGAGUUAAGAAAUGUAAGGAUGUUAAUAGCAUCUUUGCUUGACUAAGGCUCCGGAGGAAGCCACGGCUAACUCUGUGCCAGCAGCCGCGGUAAUACAGAGGCGGCAAGCGUUGCUCGGAAUUAUUGGGCGUAAAGAGCACGUAGGCGGCUAUGUAAGUCGGUUGUGAAAGCCUUCCGCUCAACGGGAGAACAGCAUCCGAUACUGCAUGGCUUGAGUGCGGGAGGGGAGAGUGGAACUUCUGGUGGAGCGGUGGAAUGCGUAGAUAUCAGAAGGAACGCCGGCGGCGAAAGCGGCUCUCUGGCCCAUAACUGACGCUGAGUGUGCGAAAGCUAGGGGAGCAAACGGGAUUAGAUACCCCGGUAGUCCUAGCCGUAAAC
rnacentral:rRNA from 1 species